rnacentral:rRNA from 1 species
UGAGUAGAGUGGCGCACGGGUGAGUAACACGUAGAUAAUCUACCUUCAAGCCCGGGAUAACUAUUCGAAAGGAUAGCUAAUACCGGAUGAAGUGGUUUGACCCAAGUUGAAUCAUGAAAGAUUGCCUCUUCUUGAAAGCAAUUGUUUGGAGAUGAGUUUGCGGACCAUUAGUUUGUUGGUGGGGUAAAGGCCUACCAAGACUACGAUGGUUAGCUGGUCUGAGAGGAUGAUCAGCCACACUGGAACUGGUACACGGUCCAGACUCC